GUUAUGAUUUUAACGGUACUGAAACAUCUAAUCCAAGGGUGGCCAACGUUUAGUCCUUGAGAGCCAAAGUCCUGCAGAGUUCAAAUCCAACCCUAAUCAAACACACCUGAACCAGCUAAUCAAGGUAUGAGGGUGUCUAGAAACCUUCAGGUGAGUUUUUGUCUGCAUGUACAGUUUAAAUGUGUGUGUGACCUGGAUGUUAAGAGCUGCAUCAAGAGAAACCGCCUCAGAGUGAGUUCCUGACUGUUAAAAGUGGAUUCUCCUGGAAAAUCAACAGCUGCUGAGUAAUGCAGGAGCCUCCAUCCUCAUGUGCAGACCUGACUCAUGAAGGUAGGCAAGUGCAAUAAGGCACUUUCUGCAACCUUUUUAUUAAUUUUUUCAAUUCUAUACUUAUGUAUGGAUUUUCUGUGGCCUCCACCCUUAUAGUGGUUUGGCACCUCCAUAGUCCCAGAGCUGAAGCUGCAGUCCGCUCCUCUUUGGCUGGACUGAGACCUUGAUUCUACCAGAGGACAUGACUUCACUUUCUUCCAGACCACACACUAAACAAGUAUGUUUGCUUUCUGUAAUAUCUUGAAAUAUAUUUUUCUGUUUAAACAACUUUUGUAUUACAGAUCCAUUUUAACCUCACAUGUAGUUUUCCUCCGGUUAGCUGGGAUCUUUGAGUUGGAUGUGUUAUCCUUUACAUGGAGUUCUUCGGUAUUUACCUGAAUAAGCCUCAUGUCAGCAACUUUUCUUGCCUCAUUUGCGCGUGGCCUUUGGAAAUGUGGAGAAUAUUGGUUCAGUUUCUUGAGCCGUAUUCAACCAGACACGGAUGCACUUCUCACACCAUGAACAGCUGAGCUGGGUGGCUUCUUGGAUGAGUUGGAUGUGCUCCUGUCCAGUUUCUGAAUGGCAAUUCUUUGAGACUGAUAUAGCCAUGUUCUCCAGCAAAGCUGUUGUGGAUUGUGUCCAUCCUUCAAUUCAUCUUUAUCAGCCAGUGUUAGGUUUACUGUUUAAUGUGGAGCAGAACCGACAGACAGGUGCAGAUACAAAACCACAAGCUUAAAUGU
ensembl:lncRNA